CUUAUUGCCUCACCCCAGUCCUGGCCUUGCUAAGCAUUGCAUACAUUCACGCAGGUACUUACGUAGUUAUUUUUCAAAACUAAAAUCACUUUUAAUGAACUGUGACUUGCUUUUUUGUUUUUUACACAAUGAAUCAGAACAAUUUGUGUCAAUUCCUACGAGUCUAUCACAAACUUUUAAUUGUUGUGUAGUAUUCUGUACUAUGAGUGAACCGUAGUUUAGCCAUUUCCCUACUGAUGAGCAUUUAAAUUUUAAUCUUGCUCUUGCAGUGAAUGCUACCAAAAACAUAACCUAGCUCAUAUGUGCUUUCCAGUAUUUCCAGGGGAUACAUUUCUAGAGGUGGCAAUGCUGGGUAAAGGGAUGUUUUAAAACUAUGAAAGCUACAACCAAAGCACCUUUCAAAAGUUUCAAACCAAUUGAUGUUCCUACAAACAGUGCAGAAGGAUAUAAUGGGAAACACUUUACAUUAGAAUUAUCUGCAUGAUUUCUUUAAAUAGCCAGCUUUCUUGGUACUUACGACUUCCCCAAAUUAAAGUCACAUGCAGUUUUCCAGCAGUCUGUUAUUGCAUAAAUCCAGACAGGCUGCUGAAGUGUGUGUGCUGCCUUAAGAGCCAGCUUUUUCCCUGCUGUGUAGCUCAGCUGGGAAGUGGUUGCUCUGACUUCUCCUAUAGGCCUGGAGCUGGUCUGUGUUGGAAAUGGGGUGCUGGGCAAUCUGUAAGGUUACACCCUGGGUCAAUGUCUCACAACUGCUCUCCAAUCUCUCCAAAGAUGGGAGCAGGAUCGUGAGUCCUGUGGGGCAUCAACAGCUGUAGAAAAAAAACUUUCCAACACAGAGGAGUUUGUUGAAUCUGAAUCUCUACAUUUUUGAGGAACAUAACUUGAUGUGGAAUACUGCUAGGCCUUCUGGCAAGGAAGAAGUGCUGGACCUGGUGACCAUUCGAGAUAGUUGUAUAGGAUUCUGUAUUAUGAAUGAACAUAGUUUAGCCAUUAGCCAUAGCAACAGAGUGCUGGACCUGGUGACCACUUGAGGUUCUUGAAAUCCUCCACCCUGGCCCUCCUCCUACACUUUCCCUACAUUCCAGGAUGGAUGUGGAUUCCUGUCCAUUUGCCUUCAAAUCAGGAGCUGGCAAACUCUGGCUUGUGGGUCCAAUCUGGCCUGCAGCCUCCUUUUGUAAUAUAAAGUUUUAUUGGAACACAGCCACGCUCAUUUGUUUGCAAAUUGUCUAUGGCUGCUUUUGCAACAGAGGAGUUGAGGAGUUGCGGCAGGUUGUUUGGUCUGCAAAAUCUGAAAUACUUAUUAUCUGGCCUUUUACAGGUAAAGUAUGCCAACCUUCUGCUCUAAAUGUCUUUCAAGUUUGUUCCUUCUUUUUCCUUAUCUUAGUUCAUCACAUCUUGCCUGGAUGACUGCAGUGGCCACUAAGCUGGUCACAGAGUGAGCUUUCUUAAAUGCAAGUGUAAGGAUGGCAGAGCCUCAAGUGCUUCAGUUUCUCCAAGUGCCUGUUCCCUGAGUGGCAUACCAUUGAAGGCCAUCUGAGUCUGCAGCUAUGUUUCCACUCUCACUGGUGUGUGCACCUGGAGCUGUCACUUUUUCAAUAAUGCAUUUCUGACUCCCUCAUCAACAAAGGUCUCAGGUUUUUUCAUCUGUGAAAUGUGAGCAGAAACCCCAGCCCGGCAUACCUCCUACGGGUAGGUUGUGAUCCUGAUGUGAUCCUCAACAAGGCUGCUCAUGAUGUGUGUCUGCUGGAUGGAGGCCUCAGAAAACUCAUUUGACAUCUUGGCUGUAACUUUGUCCAAGUCUGUGUCUGAUGUCAUUAUGCAAUCAAUUCUAUACUAGAUUCUGCCGGGUAAGAUCUUAAAAGACAAAAGCUUUGUUCUCCAGAUCGUCACUGGUUUUGAGGACGUACCUUGUUCAUUCAUUCAUUCAUUCAUUCUGCAAAUUAUUUAUUAGAGCAAAUUAACUUCUGUGACUCUCAAUCUUCUCUUCUACAUAACAGGAAUAAUAAACCUUGCUUCAUAGGGUUAAGUUUUAGGCAUAUGGCUGGUACUCAAGAAAUGAUUAUUAUUAGAUUAUUAUUAUUAUUAGAUUCUUCACAGAAGUCUUAGUAGUAGUCAAAGCAUAAAAGACAUUUAAAGGCUGGACGCUGUGGCUCACAUCUGAAAUCCCAGCACUUUGGGAGGCAGAUGUGGGAGGAUCACCUGAGGUCAGGAGAUCAAGACCAUCCUGGCUAACACGGUGAAACCCCAUCUCUACUAAAAAUACAAAAAAUUAGCCAGGCAUGGUGGCGGGCGCCUGUAGUCCCAGCUCCUCGGGAGGCUGAAGCAGGAGAAUGUCGUGAACCCAGGAAGCAGAGCUUGUAGUGAGCCGAGAUCGCACCACUGCACUCCAGCCUGGGCGACAGAGCGAGACUCCGUCUCAAAAAAAAAAAAAAAAAAAAAAAAAAGAUUAAGUAGGGUCUACCCCUUGCCUCUAGUCUGGCAUAGUAGAAUUACUGUUAUUUUCUCAUUUUUUUAGUUGAAGAAACUGAAAGUGAGGUAAAGAGUCUUAUACCCAUGAACUGGACAUUAUUAUUUCUUUCCUUUCACAAAUGAGAAAACUGAGGCAUAGAGAUGAUAUUUAACUCUCCCCUAGGGACAUAUCACUAAUCAGCAGUAGAUCCCAAAUAGGACUGCAGGUAGCCUGGCUCCAGAGACUAGGAUUGUAGCCUCUAGACUCAAUGGGAUUAGAGGCUAUAGUGAGAAGAAUAUUGGAUUUGGAGUUAGAGCAAUCUGGCUUCUAAUCUCUGCUCCAGCACAGACUAUCUUGAACCUGGGAAAGCCACUUAACUGUCUGAGCUCUGGUUUCCUUAUCUGGGAACUGGAAAUAAUGAUAAUACCUACUCUGUAGGAAUCUUGUAAGAAAGAGAAGUAACAUAUGUCAUUCCUUAGGUAGUGUAAAUUCUAUCUUAGACCAUCAUAGACAUUUUUGCUUAAAGACAGGGUCUCACUCUGUCUCCCAGGCUGGAGUGCAGUGGUGCAAUCAUAGCUCACGGCAACCUUGAACUCCUGGGCUCAAGUGAUCCUCCUGUCUAGGCCUCCCACAGUGCUGGGAUUACAGGCAUGAGCUCCCAUGCCCGGCCAGGUCACCACAGACUCUUAAACAUCACAAGAACUUUUGCAAACAUGACUGUAUGGAAUUAGUGCAGUCACAUGAGGAGGAAUAUAGGAGAGAGAUUUUUUAUCCCUGUUUGCAGAUAAGGAAAGUAAGCCAGAGAGGAAGAGAAAGGGGGAAGGGAACUCUUUUAAAUGCUUUCAUUUAUUCAAUCAAUAUCAGUUAAGCAGCUAUUCAAUUUAUGUUGACUGAUAUCAUUUAUUUAAUAAAUGUCAGUUGAGCAGUAUCACAUCAUGAGGGGUACAAGGAUUGACCCUAUUUUUUUCUGGAUGAGGAACUGAGGCUCAGAUAAAGCAUAACUUGCACAUAGUCACAGAACUAAUCAUGAGCAACACUGCAAUUUAAACUAAGGUAUGUGUGGACCCAGACAUGCUCACAGUGGAGUGAAUUUCCCCCAGGUCUCAGAUGUAAGGGGCAAAGUCAAGGAAGGCUCUAACCCUAAUCUUCUGGGUCCAGAUCUAGUCCACUUUCAUCCCACCAUGUGGUGUAGCCCUACAAAUAAGUUGAAUUCCAAAUUCUAAGCAAGCAUUGACUAAUGCAAAAAUGGUUAAAAGGCCAGAACCCUAGAGGCAGGAAAUGUCACCUUCCUUGAUUAAACCUGGGAAAUGUACCCAUUAUGGAUAAGAUUUGCUGUCUACAGGAAACCGUCUUAGACAUAAACUGAUCCUAUCUUCCAGCCAAAGUGAUUUGAAGAUGGCUUAACUAAGGAGAUUUAAGUAGCUGACUACCUUGAAGGUAAUCUAUGAAAAGGGACCUCUGUCUUCGGAAAGUGCGUCUACCACAAAAGUCUGUGAGGAUGAUGGGUGUGGUUCUGUGAUAAGUGCAAUCAGAAAGUCCAUAUGAGUUCUGAAAAAGUGCAGGUGACCUUGGAGCCAGAGAGAUGGGGUUCAAAUCCUAGUUUCUCUCCCACUUUGGACUUAUUUGUGUUUAACCAUCUUCAUCUGUAAAAUGGAGAGAGCAUUGUUUUGUUUGUUUGCUUGAGAAUCUAGAGACAUUAGGAUGAUUAAACCAUACUGUACACAUCUCUGCUAAUCUUUUAAGGAAAAAUCAUGGAGAAUGGAAAAAAAAUCAGUGAGUGAAAAGAUUUCUCUGUAUCUUCGUCACAAUCCAGAGAAAAGAAGUUCAGAAUCCAAUGGUUUUGGACAACUUGGUCAUCAGAAAAAUGAAGUGUGUCCUGUCUUUGGUGUAUUUCACUAGGUUCUACCUUAUGAACAUGAUGACAAUAAUAAUAAAAAAGUACUUUGCUG
rnacentral:lncRNA from 1 species